rnacentral:rRNA from 1 species
UACGUAGGGUGCGAGCGUUAAUCGGAAUUACUGGGCGUAAAGCGUGCGCAGGCGGUUUUGUAAGCCAGAUGUGAAAUCCCCGGGCUUAACCUGGGAAUGGCAUUUGGGACUGCAAGGCUGGAGUGCGGCAGAGGAGACUGGAAUUCCUGGUGUAGCAGUGAAAUGCGUAGAUAUCUGGAGGAACACCGGUGGCGAAGGCGGCUCACUGGCCCGGUACUGACGCUGAGGCGCGAAAGCGUGGGGAGCAAACAGG